rnacentral:rRNA from 1 species
GACGAACGCUGGCGGCGUGCCUAAUACAUGCAAGUUGAGCGCUGCAGGUUGGUACUUGUACCCACUGGAUGAGCAGCGAACGGGUGAGUAACGCGUGGGGAAUCUGCCUUUGAGCGGGGGACAACAUUUGGAAACGACUGCUAAUACCGCAUAAAAACUUUAAACACAAGUUUUAAGUUUGAAAGAUGCAAUUGCAUCACUCAAAGAUGAUCCCGCGUUGUAUUAGCUAGUUGGUGAGGUAAAGGCUCAACAAGGCGAUGAUACAUAGCCGACCUGAGAGGGUGAUCGGCCACAGUGGGACUGAGACACGGCCCAAACUCCUACGGGAGGCAGCAGUAGGGAAUCUUCGGCAAUGGAAGAAAGGCUGACCGAGCAACGCCGCGUGAGUGAAGAAGGUUUUCGGAUCGUAAAACUCUGUUGGUAGAGAAGAACGUUGGUGAGAGUGGAAAGCUCAUCAAGUGACGGUAACUACCCAGAAAGGGACGGCUAACUACGUG